rnacentral:lncRNA from 1 species
UUGUUUUUAAAUUAUUAUUAUUAUAUAUAUUACACAAAAUACACAAAUACACAGAUACACACAAAUACAUCGUCAUCUAUACGGGUAAAGAGGAAUGUCACCGUCGGCUUCAGCACCUCCACCGCCGUAGCUUCCGUGCUUCACCACCAUCUCCGUCGCGUUUCCUUCGUCACACCACCAGAUCCGGCAUGUCUGUUCCGUCACUAUACCACCUCCAGCGCGUUUCCUCCGUCACGCCACCACCUCCGACGUGUCUGCUUCUUCUCAGAUCUAUAAACAAAACAAAGAAAAACAAUUAGAAAUAGCUUAAGAGAUGCAGAGAAAGAGAUUAGAAGAGGAGUGAAACACCUUGCUUCUUCACAAACAAUGAAGAAAUAGGAUGAAACACAGAGUCAUGAAAUCGGCUUGGUCUCUACGACAAUGGCGACUAAUGCUAAUGACGGCAGGUGUGAAUGGAGGUAGAGUAGGGAUAGACAUGGAGAUGAAUGGAGAUUGAGCAAAGGAGAUAAGUUGAGAUUGAUAAGAAGAGGAGAAAAAGAGUAGAUGAGGAGCAGAAGAUGGAGUACGUGAGGAGAAGAAGGAAUAAUCUUAGUCAAAAACAAAGAAAGAGGAGAUGAGACGAUGGAACUUGUGAGGGGGAGAAGGGAAGAAAAAGUUAAAACAAAACCAAAUCAAUCUGAUCCGUUGGAUCUAAUAUUAUCAAUGGUUAGGAACAUAAAAUGGUUAUCCACACCAUUCCAAAAUGAACCAAUGAGAAAUCAGCACUCUAUCUCUUUAAUAGUUUAUUAUUAGAUUCCAUAGUUUAGGAUUAUAUUUAUGUUUUUGUUGUUUAUGUUUUGAUUUCAAUAGAAUUGCAACUUAGAUAUAUUAGAAUUUGGGUUUGAUAAUUAAAAGUUUAAAGUUGAAAGUUUAUAUUUAUGAUUAAAGGUUUGGAGUUAAGAAAAUAGGUAAUGAGGUAUAUAUUUAUUGUAUGAGUUUUAAAUUUUAUAAGAUUAAAUUGAAAAUAUAAAAUUGAAAAGUUCUGAUAGAAUUGGGGUUAGGUUUGGGUUAAGGGUAACACAACUUGAUUUAAUAUAAUUUAUAAAGUUAUUUAAGUAGUAUUGUGUUAUGAUAUAAGGUUAAUUUGGAGUGUUAGGUUUAAGGUUUUGAGUAAAUUUGAGAAUAAGGUUUUAAAAUUUUAGAUUAGUAGUUUAUGUUUAAGUUUUGGUGUUUGGUGUUUGGAUUUUAUGAUUUGGGUAUAAGGUUUAGGGUUAUAGUAUAUGGUUUGGAAAAUAAUGUUUGAGGUAUAAAUUUAAGUUUUGGAAUUAAUUUUUUAAAAAUAUUAAAUUUAAUGUUUUGAGGUUAUAGUAUGAAAAUUUUAUGAUUUUUUUGUUUAACUUUAAAAACAUUAGAUUUAAUGUUUAGAUUAGUUAUUUAGGAUAUAAAGAUUAUACAUAGAGUUUAGGGUUUGGGAUAUAGUAUUGAGUUUAGAUUUAAAAAUUAAGAUUAGAUUUUUAAAAAUAUUGAAUUUGAAUUAAACUUUAAGAUUUUAAGGUUAUAGUAUGAAAAGAUUAGAUUUUUAAGGUUUAUUCUUAGAGUUUAUGGGGUUAACACAUAUUUAGGGUAUAGGGUUUCAUGUAGCCACA